rnacentral:lncRNA from 1 species
GUAAUAACAGAAAUGUUUAGUAAUAUAGUAUAGUUAGAAGGGUAUUAUUGUAAUUAGGAUAUAUGGCUAUAUAAAGGAUUAUGUAGCUAGUAUUUCAUUAAGUUCAUUUGUAUACAUUUUCUCAAUUCAUUCAAUACAAUCUCUCUGAUUUCUCUUUAACAAUUCUUUCCCUUUCUUUGUACCAAUUUCAUCUUCAACAAUGUAGUUAACAUGGUAUCAGAGCCACCAAGGCUCACGCCAUGGAUCUUGGUGGUUGAUUUCCGCUUCUAUCUUUCUUCAUUACUUUCUUUCAUUUCCGCAUAUUCAUAGUUCUUAAUUUUUGUUUGGUCUCUGGAUUUUUCCGCCGAGGGUUUUCUGUUUAGUUUUUGGGAUUUUUUUUUUCCCUCUGAGUUUCAAGCUGCACAAAUUCCGACAGGAAGAGGGCUGAAAUUCGUGGGGGUUAGGGUUUUCAUGAAGAUCUGCAUAGUUUCAGAAAUUGGUUUCUUGGAGUGUCAUUCUCCUUCGUAGAUUUAGUUUCUUGGAGUGUCAUUCUCCUUGGUACAGUUCAGCAGCAACAUACAUUUCAGUAAGCUUCAUGGGUUGAUCAAUUGAGCUCUCAAGGAUAAAAGCAUGCCUGUAUGGUUCUCCAAAAGUGAUUUCAGGGCUUCUGUUGGCUUAGAACUGGAUCGAUCUCUCAGUCACAUGGUCCUCCUACCACAUCCCAGGCUUCAUCACAAUCUUUGUCAUGCAUUCACAGCGUCUUGCGGUUUCAGAUCAGUUUCAGCUCAGUUUCAGAGUUCAAGCUCGUUCAAACUUCACUUGGCUACACCACGUUCAGUUUGAGGGGGGAGUAAUAACAGAAAUGUUUAGUAAUAUAGUAUAGUUAGAAGGGUAUUAUUGUAAUUAGGAUAUAUGGCUAUAUAAAGGAUUAUGUAGCUAGUAUUUCAUUAAGUUCAUUUGUAUACAUUUUCUCAAUUCAUUCAAUACAAUCUCUCUGAUUUCUCUUUAACAAUUCUUUCCCUUUCUUUGUACCAAUUUCAUCUUCAACAAUGUAGUUAACAAAAAGAACCGUUAAAUCGUGAUUUUUUGUUUUAUAACCGUUGAAAAGUUUUGUCUCAUUACUUGAUAUGUGAAUGUUUGUUUUUUGUGAUUUUUGGCAUAUGCGAUCUCGAAGCAUAUACAAACAAGUUUGACGGUUUGAUCGUUGAAGUUAGUUUCGUGUAUCCCAUCAAGUUCAAUGGUGUGUAUAUUAUA